ensembl:lncRNA
GGCUGGAAAAGACCUACAAGAUCACCAAGUCCAUGGCCUACCACUGCCAGUUUUAUCCCUGAGCCAUGUCCCAUGUCCCCCAAAGCCAAUCCUCACUGCUGGCCACCCCAUUCACUGCCUGCAGUCCUGUCUUAGUGUCAGCUUGGCCAAUGAAAGCUGCCCAGCAGGUGUGAAUAAGACACAAGCAGCACCAUUUGUGCAAACUCCCUGCCUGCUGAUAUCAGGAGGAGUCAAGCAGCAGCAGGUUUGGCACUUACACAUGUUCAUGUGUGUGCUGGGGACCCCACACUGCACACCACUGUACAGGCAGGGAUGGGGCUUUCCUCCUCCAUUGUGAAGAAUAAAAUUACUUUUCACUUGUCUGCUCUCCCAGAUCUCCCCUACCAGACAUCUCAUCCAAGGACACUUUUCAAGUCAUUUCAAAGCAAUAUUUCACUUAAACAUUGCUCUUAUCAAAGCCUUUCAGGCUGCUUUGUUCAAGACUACUGACAACCUCACAUUUAAAAGCAUGAGUCUGGCCUCCAAGAGUUCAGGGUAUUUCCACAUAAAUCCAAAAAAUUGUCAAACUACAAACAAAGUGGAGGGUGGGGGCUGUCUUCCUGUAUGUUACCUCAGGCCAACCGUGCAUGAAGUCAAACUGUCCUUCCAGCAGAACUGAAAUUCUCAGAGAGAGGCCCAGGACCUGAGAUACCAGCUGAGAUAACAACCACAAGGCUGCAGCAGUCCUGAUUCGACCAACCCUCACCUCAAGGCAGUCCCUCUAGAUGGGAGAUAAGGGAAGCCUCAAUGCCCCACUUCUGUGCCUUCAGGUACCUAGAUCUGCCACAUGAAUGUCUUCACACAGGCUGCUGAAGCUCCUUCAGUAUGCAAACAAAACCAAAAUGCUACAAAAUCAAAUGGCUGCAGUCCUUUUUACUCACAAUUUGUGCAAUAUUCAUUCAUUAUUUAAGAACAUUGCAAAGCUCAACACAUUGCAUUAUGAUUUAAAAUUACCUGAUGGAUAUUCUUACAUCAGGCAAGGGAAAAAAAUGGGUUUGUGUUUAGAACACGCUUCCUUAUAAAAUUUUUCUUGUUUUUCUUAUUAUUCUAUCCUAUCACAUCUUCCAAUAAAAGCUGCUGGUUUUAACACACCCAUUCAUCUUCUGUGCUCUCACAGACCCUUCAGAGACCACCAAUGACAUGUUUGACCAGAAGAAAAGCUGUUCAUGAGUUGUCCAAAAGUAGGAUAUGACGAUAAACCUCUGCCAACGCUGGCAUGGAAAGCACCAGGUCAGUAGAUGGGCUGCAAGGUGACCUGUGCUGAGUUACAUCCAAGUGUUUUCUCUCCUUUUGAUCUUUGUCAAAUAGGUUUUCUUCUCUUUAAAUAAAGAGGUCAUCAAGACUCCUGUCAGUUCAAAAUUCAAAAACUCAUUACCAGUUCAAACAUCAGUCUUAACUGCUUGGUUCUCAGAAAUGACCAUUAAAAAAGAAAAGAGUAUUCAAGAUGAGUUCUUAAAAAUAAGCAAAAUAUGACUAAUUAAAAACUAUAGAUAACAAUUAUUCUAACACUCUUCUGUGAGACAUUAAAUUAGUACACUCAUCAGUGAAAUGAGAGAACCACCUACAAUUUAUUCAUGUAUUUAAAACAGAGCAAUACUUUUGUGUGGCCAAACAAAAAUUCUACUAGUUCCUGCCCCUUGAAGCCAGUGGUGAUGGUGUAUGGCAGGCAAUUUCUGGCCAAUAGAAAUCCUCAUGAAAACACAGUAGAACACAUUAAGGGUGUUCUUAACCCGUGUCAAACCAAAUGUUCAGCUUCAGAGUUUUAACUGCACACAAAGUGAAGACAAUGGAUAAAUAUUAUUUGUAUCACAAAUUUGCCAACACCAAUGAGAAGAGCACCUUGCCACUAAGUUUUUUCUGUACCACAGGCCAAUAAAUUUUAGCAGUUCCUACUGUUCUACUACAAAUACUGCCUGGUCAGCUCUGUGAUGAUGAUCAUUAUAAUGACAAACAGAUCCAUGGGCAUUUCAAAUGUGCAACACUGAUAGCAGUGGAGAGAGGCUGCUCAGGUUAUAAAAUUGGGGUGAAAAAGGAUGUAGGAAAGUUACAAAACAACUGGAACUCGGUGUAUAUGUACUCACUGUGUAUUUACCUGAGAGAUGGCAUUUUGAGCAGCACAAUCCCCUGACAGAACACUGGAAGGGCUUCUCUGCCAAGCUGGAGGAAACAGCACGGGCGAAGGACACCACCAAGUGAUUUAUCAACCCCUUUUGCUCUGACAUCCAGCUCACUCUGGGACAUCUCCAAUCCAAAUAUAGCCACAAUAAAGUCCAGGUUCACUUUUGAGAACAAGCAGGAAUAUCAUACAAGGUGAGAUGCUUGCAAGCUACCAGCAUUUUUUUUGUUGUUGUUUUUGGUCAAUUCCUUCUCUAACUGACAAUCAACCUGGGCAAUUGCACUUUACCAAGUCACUCCUGUGACUUACUAUAGGUAGAGAUGUAACGUUUGCAGAGACGUGAGGAAUUCAGUCAAAAACAAAAGAAAAAUUAAUAAAAAAACUCCAACAGUGACACUCAGGCAAAUCUCAAAAUACUAAGAUUCAUCCCACACUUAAAAAAGCAGGCAACUCUACCAUGGUAGAGUGUUUUCUGUGGUGUUACUGGGUUAGCUUUUUUGCAGUACUUCCCAUCAUCAAGUUAGUGCUUAUAUAUCCUCAAAAACCAAACCCUAUCUGCAGUUUACAGACAAAGAAACAGAAGCUAAGUAGUUACGUAACUACAAGUCAUGUAUUUAUAAACUGGGCUGCCUGGCUUAUAGAGCAAUCUUAAUUUAAAAACUCCCCAAGCAAGAAUUUUCUCACUGCAUCUUUCACAAUCAGUUCAUGACUUCAUCAAGAUGACUGAGAUACCACAAAAAAAACCAAUCUAACGUGUUUGAGGACCAGAAUUUUAAUGUGCAUCUCAUACUGCAACCCACAUAUAUUUUAGAAAUUAAAUUUUGGCCUCUGUUUUAGAAGUAGCUCCUGUAAUAGUGUGCUACGGUCACAGUAUUACUUAUGUGCUAAGAUCUCAAAAUGAAUACAGAGAAAACAAAUGUUUAUUGAGUGUUCUUCAAAUCAUCCUGUAGUGUAAAAUAGAUAAUCCCACACUGACUACAGAGGAUUCAGUGUUGUUUUGUAGACUUUUACAGGAUUUAAAAUGACAGCUGUCUCAUAUGGUGGAUAUUCCUCCCUGCAACCCCUUUCAAAAUCAAGAAGUGCAUUAGGCUGGCUAAAUUCCUUUGUUCACCACAAUGACUUUCAUCUAUUUAACAUCUUGGAUAAAACUGGCCCAUUGUGCAUCAAAUGAAGCCAGCUUUGGGUAUAAGGUUCUUACUCUAACCAGAUUAUUUUAAGUUUACUUGAAAGGUCAUCAAUAUUUUUAAUAUGGAUCAUAUUUUCUUUGCUCUGCUUUUCUGCAAAGUAUUUAUAAGGUAAUACUUUAGAUCUAGAAAAACUGACUCCUCACACAUUACUUUAUCACUCCCAACCGAAUACUUGCACUCCAAAGUGCUUGUACAUUUGCCUUUCAGUAUUCUUCUGAGGUUGUCUCCUAUCACAGUAACUUUCUCCUUUUUUUUAAUAUCAAAAUAUACCGAGGUCGAGUCUCAACUUCUCAUUGCUCGGUUCUCCUGAGGAAAAGAAGUAAGAUUCUAUUAUGUCGUCUUCAACAGCCGUGAUGAAUGAGGGGAAAACAGGGAGAGAGAAGGAUUUGUGCUAGAAGCUCAUGCAAAAUUCGAGACUUGAAUAUAGCACAAGUAGCACUUCAACAUUUCAGACUCCUUCAGAGCCAAGAUCCCUGGAGAGUUGAGUUUAAAUCACUAAACUUAUUUCAGGAAAGUGGAGAACACUCUGGAGAAAAGUCUGUCGACUCCAGCAAAAUUAAUAAACUGGUUGCUCCUGAUGUGAACUACAUUUCUUGACAGGAGUUUGACAAAUUUCUAAUUCCCUCUUAGCUACUUGUGAAUGCUGCACUUGUUGCUCCUUUUUAACAGUUAUUUAAUCCUAUGGCACAACAGAAGUAAUAAGGAUUGUUAAGUUUCAUUCACCUUGCACUUUCAGUGCCAGUAAUAAAAAGGAAAACUAUGACCUUCCUCAAUGUGUGCCAAAGAGCAGCCUAUUCCUUCCUGAUUUUAAAUGUUCAUGUCCAGAAAAAGUAUGUAACCCCCACUGGCUGACUCUGCUUAAAGAAAUCGGAAUUGAUAAAUGGAAACAAAUCUCAAAUGAAAAAUCCAUAACAUUAUGCAUUUUUUCUAAUGACAGGGCCAGGUGCCUUACAUUUGCUGCAAAUCUAAACAGAAUUAGUAGCAUUUAAUUGUCACCUAACUACAUUUAGAACAUCACUGGUUUUGAUUCUGUGUGUUUAGGGUGCUGAAGUUUUGUAGUGCUUACUGCCCUGCUGUCAGGGCUGGUGAUGCACAGGACAGUCAAAACCUGUCCCUGUACUCAGGGGCUACUGGGAAAGCCUAAUUCCUUUACAGAGAUGAUACUGCUGCAGAGCUUAAAUGCAGCUCACAAUGUAUGUUCUAAGAAACAGAAAAAGGUGUUAAUAUGCCCGUGACCUUAAGUACGUUUUCGAAUUUUUGUAGCAAAAGUGCCACAAGAUAGGUGAAUGACACUGAAUCAAGCCAUAAAACAAGGUAGAAUAGAGUGGAUUUUCUUUUUACAGCACAUACUAAAAAGGGUUAUUUAUUAUCUCGGUAAAAUCCUAAGAAGAUAAGUCAAAUCAAUGCCCCCCAAAAUCACACAGUUACUUCACAGCACUUUUUAUUACAGUAUGGUAAAGUUUUGUUUACUGUAACAAUGGGAUUAGAGAGCAUAAACACCACCCUGAUGUACUUUUCACUUACAUUAGGGCUCUGCAAUGUCUGUAAUUCUAUGGCCAGGUUAAUGACUAUGCUUCCCAUGGACCUAGGAGCAACUUUCCAUUAAGUAGAAAAGAUCUUCCAUGAGAAAAUUGAAGCUUUUCUCUGAAGCUGUACUCAGAAGCAGGAAAAUGCCUGCUGUGGAUGGAGGAGGGAAGAAAGGGUUAAGAAGUGUCCUAAAAGGCUGCACAGAGACAUGUGCUCUUCACAAACCCAGUGAUCACACCACCACUGCAAUUUGGGACUCUGCACUUGUUACUGGGUGUGCUGGCAGCUCUGCUAACAAGGAAAUGUGUUCCUUUUUGGUGGCUGGGUAGGGCAGCAAAACCCUGUGUCCCGCUACUACAGAAUUGCAAUUUCUGACUGCAGUGCACCCAGACUUCAACCUGGGGAUGGGAUUUGCAAGGCAGCCCCACUGCCUACCAACUUCCACAGGAUCUGGCCAAGUAAGUCUUGAGUUCUUUCAGAUCUGAAAGGUCUCUUGUCUUUUAUACAUUACACUCAAAAGACAGCAGAGUACCUCAAGCAAGUAUUUACCACUUUCAAUAUGCACAUCAACUUGCCACUGAAAAAAGAAAGUUAAUUUUGGAUAAAAGCCCCAAGCAAGAAUUCUGUUUCCAGCACACGUUUCAGCCUGACUUUAGCCUUUUCUCUCCUCUGUGCACUGGGAAAACAACACAUUACCUGUGCACUGAGCUCAGGGAAGCUGUGGGUCCCACGUAUCUCUGUCCUUACACCCAAGGCUGAGGGAAGGGACCCGCUCAUGUCACUGCUGUGAGUGACAGCAGGGCUGGAUCUGCCAGGCUGGUGCAGGAUGCACAGAGGCCUCAGGGACAGCACCUCCAGCUCUGCCAGCAACUGGCUCUGCAACCAUUGCACAAAUCUGCAUCAUUCCUACAUAUUAUAAUCUCCUACCAACAAACAGGGUAAUUCAGCCUCUUCUGUUUCUUCCUCUUUACCUUAUCAGUCCUUAUGAUAAUGUUUUUAAGAUGGAUCCUUAUUCUUGAUAUGUUUGGAUCAAUUUUAUUCAUUUGUGCUUCUUAACACUUGUAAAAUAUUCUGUAGAGCUCAAAAUCACUAGAGAAAGUCAGGAUAAAAAAUUUAUUUUGAGAAAACAAGGAAAUAUUGUUAAAAUAGAUAAUUUUUAGUCUAUUCUGUACUUCAUAUCAUGGUUUCCAACACUUACCAAAACCUGUAACUAUCUCUAACCACAUUUAGCCAGCAAAAUUCUUUCCUUAAACCUUCUGUUCUCUGAAGACAAGGAUUCCCUUGGGAAUAGAGAAAGACCUUUUACAAAUGUUUGGAAGCAAUAUGAAGCUGUGUACCAGUGUAAAAAAAAAAAAAAAAAAA